rnacentral:rRNA from 1 species
CGAGUGGCGGACGGGUGAGUAAUGUCUGGGAAACUGCCUGAUGGAGGGGGAUAACUACUGGAAACGGUAGCUAAUACCGCAUAACGUCGCAGGACCAAAGAGGGGGACCCUCGGGCCUCUUGCCAUCGGAUGUGCCCAGAUGGGAUUAGCUUGUUGGUGGGGUAACGGCUCACCAAGGCGACGAUCCCUAGCUGGUCUGAGAGGAUGACCAGCCACACUGGAACUGAGACACGGUCCAGACUCCUACGGGAGGCAGCAUG